rnacentral:miRNA from 1 species
CAUGCUUUUCUCCAUUGUGUAUUUGUGGUUAUAUGUGCAUAUUACUAUAUGCACCCCCCCCACACACACAUAUACAC